GCUCAAGGUCUGGGUCCCAGAGUCCACCUUCAUUUUCCACCAAUGAGUUUGUUCACAGGGGAUGGAGUGUGUAGGGAAUGUCCUGAUUUGUGUGUAAGGAAUGCAUUGUGUGAAUCUGUGUUUGUAUGUGUAAGGGCUGCAAGGUGUGUUUCUGUGUAUGUAAGGGAUGAAGUGUGUGAGUCUGUAAGGGGUGCAUUGAGUGUGUGUAAGGAAUGCAUUGUGUGUUUCUGUGUGUGCAAGGGAUGCAUUGUGUGUAAGGGUUGCAUUGCGUGUGUGUGUGUAAUGCAUUGUGUGUGUAAUGCAUUGUGUGUUUUUGUGUGUGCAAGGGGUUCAUUGUCUUUGUGUGUAAGGGGUGCAUUGUGUGUGAUUGUGUGUGUGUGUGUGAUGGAUGUCAAUUUCUCCCCCCUCCCUUGUCACUCUCUUCUCCCCCCCUCCCUUGUUACUCUCAUUCCCCCUCCCUCCCCUGUCACUCCCCCCUCCCUGUCAAUUUCUCUCUCCCCGUCAAUUCCCCUCCCUGUCAAUGUCUCCCCCCCUGUUAGUUUCUUUCUCCCCCCUCCCCUGUCAGUUUCUUUCUUCCCCC